rnacentral:lncRNA from 1 species
AUUCCUUUUCUUAGCGUAUUCCUCCCAAACAGUUUAUUUCUCCUUCACUCCCACGUUCACAAACAAAGUCUCAACAUCUUCACUCCCAGCCGCAUCCCUUCAUUACCGUUUAGCAUCCAUCAACAAAUUCCACGCGUCUCUCUUCCAACCUCCCCUGUUCCGAGAUCAUCUUUAUCUCGCGGAACAACCAAUCUCACGCGUGCAUGGCCUCCGCAGCCCACAUCCUGUCCGUGAUCUUCCAUCCUCCCGUUCGUGUUGGCCUCCUCCAGAUCACUCCCAAACGGCACCAGCUCUCAUCCUCUUCCGGAUAACCUUCAUCACCCACGUAUUCCCUGUUGCUUCGGAACAGAGUCCGAGUCUUCAUCAAUCCAAGCCACGUCCGCAGCUUCAUCUUCCCGAGCAUCACGGGAGAGCUCUUUCUCCUUAUCCCCUACUCCCAGCGAAUCUAUCAUCCUCAUCCC